UGAAAUUCACAGUUUUGAAUCCAGAAGGUCGUAUUUGGACCAUGGUGGCUGGAGGAGGUGCUAGUGUCAUUUAUGCAGAUACAGUCGGGGAUCUGGGCUAUGCUUCUGAACUGGGGAAUUAUGCAGAAUACAGUGGAGCACCGAAAGAAGGUGAAGUGUUGCAGUAUGCAAGAGUUCUUAUUGAUUGUGCAACUGCAAAUCCUGAUGGCCGCAAACGCGCCCUUCUAGUUGGUGGAGGGAUUGCCAACUUUACUGAUGUUGCUGCAACUUUUAGUGGCAUCAUCCGAGCUUUGAGAGAGAAGGAAUCAAAACUGAAAGCUGCAAGGAUGCAUGUAUUUGUGAGGAGAGGAGGUCCAAACUACAAAACUGGUCUAGAGAAAAUGCGUCGUCUUGGAGAAGAAAUUGGCAUCCCUCUUGAGGUUUACGGUCCGGAGGCUACCAUGACAGGCAUUUGCAAGCAAGCGAUUGAGUGCAUCACUGCUGCGGCAUAAACUUAGGAUUUGACUACUUUCGUACUUUGAUCAUGUCUUGUCAGGUAUUCCUCUGUGCAUUAGUGCAUCCUUGCGUAAGGAAGAAAGACUACCGAGUAGGGAGAAUGUUGUUAAUCAGAAU
rnacentral:misc_RNA from 1 species